GCAAAUGCUAUGCAAUUUGAUCUCUUUAAUAACAUGCCUCUUCUUCGUUUUCCUUACUUUCAUCAUGUUCUUCAGAUCUUUUCAUCUUUUACCCCUUUAAAGAGAAAGGUGUUUAAGCAUUUUUUCAAAUUUUGUUCAUAAUCUGUUGAAAAAAAAAAAGUAAAAACAAGUAGGCUACGCUAUUUUGCUAUAAUAGGAUCAAACUCGAGACAGUAUUGAGUUAAAGUUGAUUGGCAACUGGGAAAAGAUGUUAGAAGCGAUAUUGAUGCUUCCGUGCACAUUGGGUUCUCGGGCUGGAUUUGGAUGGCUAUUGGGGGAUCAUCGGGGCACUUUUUUGGGUGGUGUUCAGCAACCUUUUGUAGGUAGAGUUGAAGUUUGAUUUGGCAGAAGCUUUGUCUUUACGCGAGGCAUUGUCUUGGUUGAUGAGGAGAGGUUAUCAAGAUGCUGUUACGGAAAUGGAUUCUUUGAAUCAUUUUCAUGCUCUUCAAAGUUCUGUUGCUAAUCUCUCUUAUUUUGGUCAGAUAGCUGAAGAUUGUAAAGCUCUUCUCAAUGACCUAUUUCUUGCUUCUUAUGUUUUUGUGAAAAGGUCAGCGAAUUUGUCUAACUCAGUUGAAUGGGGUUGAGGUUCUGCUCCUCCAUUUUACUUUCUAGAUAAGCUGAUAAUUCCAGUUGAGGUUUUAGAUCUCCAGCCUUAAAUGGGCAUAACCACCUGGUUACUUUGAAGACUUUCUCAAGUCCACCAUAGUCUCCAUGGGCAGUGCCAGGAAUGUGCAGAGUCUAAUGUUCAAAUUCUAAAAUGUGAAAGCAAGACACAGGCACCCAGCCUGUGCUGUGAAAUUGCAUAUGAAGUUCCAAAUCCCAUAACCAUACAAUUUUUUACUGCUUGUUGACUUGCCUUUUCUAAGUCAAUUCUACUUCUCCUUUUAACUGCUCAUUCCUAUAAAUAGAAAAAGGAUGAACCUUUUCUUGACUUGACUAUUCA
rnacentral:misc_RNA from 1 species